CCAUCAAAGAAGCUGUGAAAUGUGUUCUGGUUUUUAUCAUAUCACAGCCAUCUUUGAUGAGCU
rnacentral:pre_miRNA from 1 species